rnacentral:rRNA from 1 species
GGCUCAGGACGAACGCUGGCGGCGUGCCUAAUACAUGCAAGUCGAGCGGAGCACUUCGGUGCUUAGCGGCGGACGGGUGAGUAACACGUAGGUAACCUGCCUAUCAGACUGGGAUAACUAUCGGAAACGAUAGCUAAGACCGGAUAACUGGUUUUCUCGCAUGAGAGAAUCAUGAAACACGGAGCAAUCUGUGGCUGACAGAUGGGCCUGCGGCGCAUUAGCUAGUUGGUAGGGUAACGGCCUACCAAGGCGACGAUGCGUAGCCGACCUGAGAGGGUGAACGGCCACACUGGGACUGAGACACGGCCCAGACUCCUACGGGAGGCAGCAGUAGGGAAUCUUCCGCAAUGGACGCAAGUCUGACGGAGCAACGCCGCGUGAGUGAUGAAGGUUUUCGGAUCGUAAAGCUCUGUUGCCCUAGACGAACAGCAAGGCGAGUAACUG